CGGAGCCCCAAAGUAGUGAGAAUCAAUAUGGCGUUGUAUUAGAAAAUAUGUGGUCCAAGUGAAUAUCUCGCAAUUAUUAGCAAAUCGCGAAGGUUGCAUCAACUUUUUUGCACUAUUAAUGAAAAAAAUCAAUGUGACCAUAGUUUUUGAAGAAAAAGAUAACAGAAUACGCCAAUACAUCGCCGUAAAAUUCAUUUCAAGUGUAGCUCGAUUUGAAAGCAUCAGCAGCGACGAAGGCUUAAGGUACUGGAAUUUCCACAUCUAAAUAUCAUAUCACAGCACAAUCUGCGAUAGUGUGGCUUAGUUCGUGUGGCAAAUACAGCGAUAUCAUACUCGAUCUAUGGAUGUAUUGUGCUGAUUGAUGUACAACAAGCAUAACGAUGAGCGGACAGGAAAUCAGAUUCUGCAGAUUGUUGACUUGAACCAAGUGCACCACAGCAAAUAGAACAGGUCAGAGAAAAUUUGCUUGAUGUUUGUUAUUGCCACCAAGAGUCCCACAAAUCCUGUCUUUCGGCGAGUGUUGUACAGCAGAUUACCAGAUACAUCUCGCAGAUUUAUAUUGUAGUUAUAAGCUUCUGCUAAAAAUGCCU